rnacentral:rRNA from 1 species
ACUCAAAUGAAUUGACGGGGGCCCGCACAAGCGGUGGAGCAUGUGGAUUAAUACGUCACUAACCGUAGAACCUUACCCAGGCUUGACAUCUAGGGAAUCCCCCUGAAAGGGGGGAGUGCUCGCAAGAGAGCCCUAAGACAGGUGUUGCAUGGCUGUCGUCAGCUCGUGUCGUGAGAUGUUGGGUUAAGUCCCGCAACGAGCGCAACCCUCACCGUCUGUUGCCAGCAUUCAGUUGGGCACUCUGACGGAACUGCCCGGGUAACCGGGAGGAAGGUGGGGACGACGUCAAGUCAGCAUGGCCCUUACGCCUGGGGCUUCACACAUGCUACAAUGGCCGGUACAGAGGGUCCCGAGACCGCGAGGUGGAGGUAAUCCCAAAAAGCCGGCCUCAGUUCGGAUCGCAGGCUGCAACUCGCCUGCGUGAAGUUGGAAUCGCUAGUAACCGCCGGUCAGCUAAACGGCAGUGAAUACGUUCCCGGGCCUUGUACACACCGCCCGU